rnacentral:rRNA from 1 species
AAUGAACGCUGGCGGCGCGCCUAAUACAUGCAAGUCGAGCGAGAAGACGUAGCAAUACGUUUGUAAAGCGGCGAACGGGUGAGGAAUACAUGGGUAACCUACCCUCGAGUGGGGAAUAACUAGCCGAAAGGUUAGCUAAUACCGCGUACGCUCCUUGGACUUCGGUUCAGGGAGGAAAGCGAUACCGUGGGUAUCGCGCUCUUGGUUGGGCUCAUGUCCUAUCAGCUUGUUGGUGAGGAACGGCUCACCAAGGCUUCGACGGGUAGCUGGUCUGAGAGGACGAUCAGCCACACUGGCACUGCGACACGGGCCAGACUCCUACGGGAGGCAGCAGUAAGGAAUAUUGCGCAAUGGGCGAAAGCCUGACGCAGCGACGCCGCGUGGGGGAGUGAAGGUCUUCGGA